ensembl:snoRNA
UGGUCCAAUGAUGACGGUUGUUGGCCUGUGGCUCCUAGAUGAUGAAUAGCCCAUGUCUAGAACUCCGUGGUUGAA